rnacentral:rRNA from 1 species
UGAUUCCCUUAGUAACGGCGAGUGAAGUGGGAAGAGCUCAAAUUUAAAAUCCUUUUUACCAAGGAGUUGUAAUUUAUAGAACGACUAGUUGUGAGUUUUUGGGUUAAAGUAUGCUGGAAAGCAACGCUAGAAAGGGUGAUAGCCCCGUUCGACCUUUAGAACAAACAUUAUACUAACGUUUCAAAGAGUCAGAUUGCUUGGGAAUGCAGUCUAAAUUUGGUGGUAAACUCCAUCUAAAGCUAAAUAUUGAUCAGUGACCGAUAGCAAACAAGUACCGUGAGGGAAAGAUGAAAAGAACCUUGAAAAGGGGGUUAAAAGUACGUGAAAUUGUUAUUAGGAAAGCACUUGGUAUUAUUGAGGAUUAAGUGAGUCUGUUUCGGCAGAUACUGACUUGAUUAGUUAUGAUCAGUUAGGACUAGUAAAGAAGGUGUUUGAUAAGGUAUUAGUGUAGAGCUAAACUUAAAGAUUGAGCAAGAUUUACUGGAUUUGACUGAGGAAUGCUUUGUGAGGAUUUUUGGGGAGAUGGUUGUGGCGUGUGGUUAAACAACAAGUUGAUUGAUCAGACUUAAGUAGCCAUAUUUUCAAAAUACUUACAAACAGGAUCAUAAUUAAAUAAUACUAAAUGACCCGUCUUGAAACACGGACCAAGGAGUCUAACAUGAUUGCGAGUUACAGGGUGAAAAACCUUUGAGCGGAAUGAAAGUGAUAAAGAUAGGAUAAAGUAAAAAUUAGCACUAUCAACCUAACUAGAAGAUUAUUUCUGAAAGUUUAGAGUUAGAGCAAUUAUGUUGGGACCCGAAAGAUGGUGAGCUAUGCUUGAAUAGGGCAAAGCCAGAGGAAACUCUGGUGGAGGCUCGUAGCGAUUCUGACGUGCAAAUCGAUCGUCAAAUUUGAGCAUAGGGGCGAAAGACUAA